rnacentral:misc_RNA from 3 species
UUAAUUUUAUUGGGGUUUUUUCUAUAAUUUAUAAGUUUAU